rnacentral:lncRNA from 1 species
CCCCCAAAAACAACACGGGGGUGAGAACUAUUGUCCAAAGUUUCCAGUGGGUACGGCCACCCAAGGGAAAAGCUCGACCCACCAGGUCCAAAGGAGGCACUGCAAACAUGUUAGUCCAACAGAUAUCCACAAAUAAUUAAUGCAAAUAUUAAAUACAUGUUUGUGCCUCAAGACAUGCAAUAUGUAGAUCAUGCAACUCAUACAAGUAGAUUAAUUGAUUCUACUCUAUAUCACUUACCAUUCUUUAUAAUAUUGGCAAUUCUGUAUCACAUGUCAUUCUUUAUUCUUUAUUCUUAGCCACACUUUACUCAAUUUUCAUUCUUUCCUAAGGUUACAUUGACCUUAGCCAACUAUGCCACUCGACUCGGUCUUGAGUCAAUUCACGAUGAAUGCAAGAUUUCAUUACCCAAUCUCUUGGUUAACCCGUAGGUUUCGCCCUCAAUGACUCACCAACCCAAAUCCCUA